rnacentral:SRP_RNA from 1 species
UGGUCGGGCCCUGUUGACCAACGCCCUUGAACCCCGCCAGGUCCGGAAGGAAGCAACGGUAGUAGGACACAUGGUGUGACGGGUCACCCGGCCAUCA